CUAUGNCUAACAUGCAAAUACACAAAAUCACAAAAUGUGCUUAUAGUGAUAACGUAAGGGAAAAAAAUGAUAUUACCUUACUAUUAGUGUUGUCUAAAUAACUGGUGCCAGAAGACUCGGUAACACCAGAAACGCGAACGUUAGUCGUCUUAAACAGGCGUAAAGGGUAAGUAGGCUGCUUUAAAAGUCUAUUUUUAAAUAAGCUUAUUAAUAAUMAUCCUAGCAGCUCUGCAGCUACUCAUGUGUUUUCAGACCUUUAAAAAUAAAUUAAGGCUAACUUAAAAUGAAAAUAGGGUAGUGGCCAGCCAGCUACGCAAGGCAAGGCAACGAAGCAAGUCCUUAGGACUAAGGCAAGUAGGUCUUGUUGUUGCUUCGCUAGGAAGACCUACCAGACCAACUAGCCAUUAUUAAAAUAAAAAAUAGAUAUACUUAAAGCUAGAAUCAUAAAUGAGAUACACCAAAUAAUACUUAUGUGUAAGGGCGAUAUCUGAAAAUACUAAGUAGAAUACUAACGGUGAAAACUUUUUAUCUGGUAAUGAUUGACGCUGAGGUACGAAAGUGAGAACAGGGAAUAGGAUUAGAUACCCAGUUACCUCUCACCGUCAACGAUGAAUGGAAGUUGUUAGUUUAAUUAAAUUAGUGACGAUGUUAACGCGAUAACCAUUCCGCCUUGAGAGUACGGUUGCAAAACUGAAACCAAAAAAAUUCAGUCGGUCUCGGAGUCAAA
rnacentral:rRNA from 1 species